rnacentral:rRNA from 1 species
CUCCGCCACGGGGGGCAGCAGUAGGGAAUCUUCCACAAUGGGGGAAACCCUGAUGCAGCGACGCCGCGUGAGCGAUGAAGUAUUUCGGUAUGUAAAGCUCUAUCAGCAGGGAAGAAAAUGACGGUACCUGACUAAGAAGCCCCGGCUAACUACGUGCCAGCAGCCGCGGUAAUACGUAGGGGGCAAGCGUUAUCCGGAUUUACUGGGUGUAAAGGGAGCGUAGACGGCAGUGCAAGUCUGAAGUGAAAGGCAAGGGCUCAACCCUUGGACUGCUUUGGAAACUGUGCUGCUGGAGUGUCGGAGAG